GAUGAACGCUAGCGGGAGGCCUAACACAUGCAAGCCGAGCGGUAUUGUUUCUUCGGAAAUGAGAGAGCGGCGUACGGGUGCGGAACACGUGUGCAACCUGCCUUUAUCUGGGGGAUAGCCUUUCGAAAGGAAGAUUAAUACUCCAUAAUAUAUUGAACGGCAUCGUUUAAUAUUUAAAGCUCCGGCGGAUAGAGAUGGGCACGCGCAAGAUUAGCUAGUUGGUGAGGUAACGGCUCACCAAGGCGAUGAUCUUUAGGGGGCCUGAGAGGGUGAUCCCCCACACUGGUACUGAGACACGGACCAGACUCCUACGGGAGGCAGCAGUGAGGAAUAUUGGUCAAUGGGUGCAAGCCUGAACCAGCCAUCCCGCGUGAAGGACGACUGCCCUAUGGGUUGUAAACUUCUUUUGUAUAGGGAUAAACCUACCCUCGUGAGGGUAGCUGAAGGUACUAUACGAAUAAGCACCGGCUAACUCCGUGCCAGCAGCCGCGGUAAGAC
rnacentral:rRNA from 1 species